rnacentral:rRNA from 1 species
AUAAAGGCAAAAGCGCGCUUGACUGCGAGACAGACACGUCGAGCAGGUACGAAAGUAGGUCUUAGUGAUCCGGUGGUUCUGUAUGGAAGGGCCAUCGCUCAACGGAUAAAAGGUACUCCGGGGAUAACAGGCUGAUACCGCCCAAGAGUUCAUAUCGACGGCGGUGUUUGGCACCUCGAUGUCGGCUCAUCACAUCCUGGGGCUGAAGCCGGUCCCAAGGGUAUGGCUGUUCGCCAUUUAAAGUGGUACGCGAGCUGGGUUUAGAACGUCGUGAGACAGUUCGGUCCCUAUCUGCCGUGGACGUUUGAGAUUUGAGAGGGGCUGCUCCUAGUACGAGAGGACCGGAGUGGACGAACCUCUGGUGUUCCGGUUGUCACGCCAGUGGCAUUGCCGGGUAGCUAUGUUCGGAAAAGAUAACCGCUGAAAGCAUCUAAGCGGGAAACUUGCCUCAAGAUGAGAUCUCACUGGGAACUUGAUUCCCCUGAAGGGCCGUCGAAGACUACGACGUUGAUAGGCUGGGUGUGUAAGCGUUGUGAGGCGUUGAGCUAACCAGUACUAAUUGCCCGUGAGGCUUGACCAUAUAACACCCAAACA